rnacentral:rRNA from 1 species
UACGUAGGGGGCAAGCGUUGUCCGGAUUUAUUGGGCGUAAAGAGCUCGUAGGCGGCUCGGUAAGUCGGGUGUCAAAUCCUCAGGCUCAACCUGGGGCACCACCCGAUACUGCUGUGGCUAGAGUCCGGUAGGGGAGCGUGGAAUUCCUGGUGUAGCGGUGAAAUGCGUAGAUAUCAGGAGGAACACCUGUGGCGAAAGCGGCUCACUGGACCACAACUGACGCUGAGGCGCGAAAGCUAGGGGAGCAAACAGG